rnacentral:rRNA from 1 species
UACAUGGGGUGCAAACGUUGCUCGGAAUUACUGGGCGUAAAGCGUGCGCAGGCGGCGCGUUAAGACAGGUGUGAAAGCCCCGAGCUUAACUUGGGAAUUGCGCUUGUGACUGGCGUGCUGGAGUGUGGCAGAGGGAGGUGGAAUUCCGCGUGUAGCAGUGAAAUGCGUAGAGAUGUGGAGGAACACCGAUGGCGAAGGCAGCCUCCUGGGCCAGCACUGACGCCUCAUGCACGAAAGCGUGGGGAGCAAACAGG